AAUUCAGCUUCCGUUAUAAGCUUAUGAUAGAGCAAACUAACAGAUUCAGACUUCAGAUUUUGGCUCACAGAAACACAAAGAAGUGCCAGCUCAUCCAAGACAAAACUAGGAGAUUGUGUUUACUUCUCAGUGCAUUUUAAAAGAUGCUGUAUUUUUAAAAAGAAGAAAAAAGAAAAAAAAAAAGAGAAAAAAGAAAAAACCAAACAAACAACCCUCCCCUCCAACCAAGCUCCCCCCAACAAACAGAAAGGAGAGAUAAAAAAAAAAAAAAAGGAAAACAAAGAAACACAAAAGCACAAAGAAAAGCAAGUGAGGGAGCCUCAAGAAGAGCCACACAGCCCUCUCCCCCUCGAUGCUCACCGUUGUUGGUAGGAGGUGAUGCCCUGGACGUUUUGCGGGUUGCCGUUGGCCGCGGCGCCGGCUCGCCCCAUGCCCGGUGCCGCCGGCACCCCCCCGGCCGCCCCGCCGGCCGCCGCCGCCGCCGUCACCUGCACGCUGAAAUCCGGGAAGAUCCUGAUCAUCCCCGCGGUUCAGCACCCGGCGAGUGUCGGCGAAGAGGUGCAGCAGCAGCGACUCUCCCUCCGGCGGCUGCAGCAGCAGAGCCAGGCACACUGCAAUCCCAUUAGUGAGUGGCGGCCACUGUGA